rnacentral:rRNA from 1 species
UACGUAGGGGGGCAAGCGUUGUCCGGAUUCAUUGGGCGUAAAGAGCGUGUAGGCGGCCAGGUAGGUCGGUUGUGAAAACUGGAGGCUCAACCUUCAGAGGUCGACCGAAACCAUCUGGCUAGAGUCCGGGAGAGGAGAGUGGAAUUCCUGGUGUAGCGGUGAAAUGCGCAGAUAUCAGGAAGAACACCCGUGGCGAAAGCGGCUCUCUGGGAACGGUACUGACGCUGAGACGCGAAAGCGUGGGGAGCGAACAGG